rnacentral:rRNA from 1 species
AGAAUGAACGCUGGCGGCGCGCCUAAUACAUGCAAGUCGAGCGAGAAGACGUAGCAAUACGUUUGUAAAGCGGCGAACGGGUGAGGAAUACAUGGGUAACCUACCCUCGAGUGGGGAAUAACUAGCCGAAAGGUUAGCUAAUACCGCGUACGCUCCUUGGACUUCGGUUCAGGGAGGAAAGCGAUACCGUGGGUAUCGCGCUCUUGGUUGGGCUCAUGUCCUAUCAGCUUGUUGGUGAGGUAACGGCUCACCAAGGCUUCGACGGGUAGCUGGUCUGAGAGGACGAUCAGCCACACUGGCACUGCGACACGGGCCAGACUCCUACGGGAGGCAGCAGUAAGGAAUAUUGCGCAAUGGGCGAAAGCCUGACGCAGCGACGCCGCGUGGGGGAUGAAGGUCUUCGGAUUGUAAACCCCUUUCGGAGGAAGAUGGAACGAGCAAUCGUUCGGACGGUACCUCCAGAAGCAGCCAGGCUAACUCGUGCCAGCAGCCGCGUAAU